rnacentral:rRNA from 1 species
GAUGAACGCUGGCGGCGUGCUUAACACAUGCAAGUCGAACGAAGCAUUUGCGACAGAUUUUUUCGGAAUGAAGUUGCUUAUGACUGAGUGGCGGACGGGUGAGUAACGCGUGGGUAACCUGCCUUGUACUGGGGGGUAGCAGCUGGAAACGGCUGGUAAUACCGCAUAAGCGCACAAUGUUGCAUGACAUGGUGUGAAAAACUCCGGUGGUAUAAGAUGGACCCGCGUCUGAUUAGCUAGUUGGUGAGAUAACAGCCCACCAAGGCGACGAUCAGUAGCCGACCUGAGAGGGUGACCGGCCACAUUGGGACUGAGACACGGCCCAGACUCCUACGGGAGGCAGCAGUGGGGAAUAUUGCACAAUGGAGGAAACUCUGAUGCAGCGGCGCCGCGUGAGUGAAGAAGUAAUUCGUUAUGUAAAGCUCUAUCAGCAGGGAAGAUAGUGACGGUACCUGACUAAGAAGCUCCGGCUAAAUACGUG